rnacentral:rRNA from 1 species
CAGUCGCCGCGGUAAUACGUAGGGUGCAAGCGUUAAUCGGAAUUACUGGGCGUAAAGCGUGCGCAGGCGGUUAUAUAAGACAGAUGUGAAAUCCCCGGGCUCAACCUGGGAACUGCAUUUGUGACUGUAUAGCUAGAGUACGGCAGAGGGGGAUGGAAUUCCGCGUGUAGCAGUGAAAUGCGUAGAUAUGCGGAGGAACACCGAUGGCGAAGGCAAUCCCCUGGGCCUGUACUGACGCUUAUGCACGAAAGCGUGGGGAGCAAACAGGAUUAGAUACCCCGGUAGUCCCUGUCUCUUAUAA